GAUCCUGUUCCGGAUUGCAGUGACCGGUCUACGCCUUAUCGGCCACCACCACGGGCAACAACGACACGACACCGGCACCACGUCUCAAACGCACAUGGUGGGACGUGAAGACAAGUCGGUCCGGACGAGUAUCGGCCGCUGGUCGUCUCGCUCUCAGCGUGAACCUUCUUAUCGACAACAGCGACAACGCUGCAUAGUCGUACGUGCAUUCUCUUUUAUGUCGUCAACACCUGACAUAGUGACAUUUAACAACUAGCUAUUGUGUACCUUUGUAUAUCAUCUUUAAAAAAUACAUCGUACAAAUAGUGAAAUUUGUGUUGUUCUUUUAUACUGACCGGCUCACCGCGGACUAACAGAGCACCUACCACCAUAGCCGCGUCAGUGUGACCUCCUAUACUCCUAAAUAUAGCUGUUAGCUGUAUUGACCAAGACUCAAAGCCUGAUUGGACAAAUUCGGUUCACCAAGUUUCUGAGUUUUAACAUCAACAGCAUGGCGUAUAAAGGCAGGCCACUUUAAGCUCAAACUACUAUCAAUUUUUCAGGCCAAUCAAUUUAUAAAGUGGGUCUAAUAACUAUACAAAAUUGGAUUUUUAAAAAGCAAAUAUAUACCCAGCACGGUACAAAUGAAGCCACUGCAAUAGGUCGGCUUUGUGGAGAUCAACGGCAAUACCAAUCAAAUUACAGUCCGGUCUACAUCCGGGAUUGCGACACCCGUGAACUCGUCACACGACGGGGUGCCGGAGAAUGUACGCUGGUGAUUUGUCAUCAAACUCAGUAGUGCCUCCUCUUUUUCAUACUCCCGAUCCUGAAUCACCACAUGCGAAGGUUUCACUGGAGUAACACAAUUUUUCGUACAUCGUCGGUUCGUCAACAGUGAAAUUGUAUCUUAGUGUAAUUCCAUGCUGCUUAAGUUACCGCUGCGAAAAACUUAAUAAAUUAUAACGAUAAUUAAAUUCUUAUUAUAAUAAUUAGAAUAAUUAGAAUAUUAAUAGUCAAAAUAAAUAUGUCCUAUGUUGAU